CUCCAGUUGAGAGUCAUUUAGUAUCUGUUGAGGGUUGUUAGCAAUUUUACCUCAGUUAAUAUAAGAACUACCUCUUGGAGCCGGCCGCGAGUGCAACAACGCCUCUCCAAUACCGUGGACAGCAAAGACUGCAGCUUCUAAUGGAGAACAGUCUGCUGAAUUGAUUCCAAACAAGCCCAUGCCAUCCAGCCAAAGACCGGGGCCAGAUCUUGGCUUUCUAAUUACCGGGGAGUUGAACAAAGGCGUGAUUCUAGUCACUGCACUGUGUGAUCAUCUUUCCGCCCCGAACGUCAGCCCCGCCCUGUUUUCUUGCCCAUUACAUCUCUAUCCUAUGAGUUCCCAGGCAGACGCAGGAGAACUGCGUCUGUUUUCAGUUGAGUCUCAGGAAAGGUAAAAAUCAACCCAAGGUGUUUGCGGUCCCCUCUCCCCCCCAGCAGAAGCGAACGAUCCGGCGUUCUGUGAACACGCACAGCGUUGUUUCAGC